rnacentral:lncRNA from 1 species
UCAUUAAACAAUCCAGUCAACCAUCUUACACCAGCCUCUCCAACGAACUUCCAAAACUCCACCGGUAUCUCAUCCGGCCCCGUCGCCCUACCCCUUCGCAUCCUGCGGACAGCCUAUCUAACCUCUUCUACCUUAAAACGUCUGCAAUAGCUAAAAUCCCGACACUCCUCUGAGUGCUCCAGCUCCCCUAACACAAUAGCUCUAUCCCCUUCGUCAUUCAAGAGCCUAUGAAAAUACGACUGCCAUCUCUUCUUAAUGUGGCCGUCCUCCACCAACACUCUACCGUCCUCCCCCUUAAUGCACCUCACCUGAUCGAGGUCACGACCCUUCCUCUCCCUAGCCUUAGCGAGUCUAAACAACUUUUUCUCCCCUCCUUUCUCCUGUAACCCUGCAUACAAGCUCUCAAAAGCCGCCGUCUUAGCUGCCGUGACUGCUGA